rnacentral:rRNA from 1 species
GACAGAGGUGCCGAGCGUUAGGCGGAAUUACUGGGCUUAAAGCGCGUGUAGGCGGACUUCUAAGUCCCUUGUGAAAUCCCACGGCUCAACCGUGGAACUGCUUGGUAUACUGGUCGUCUUGAGCCAUCUAGGGGCUGUCGGAACAAAUGGUGGAGCGGUGAAAUGCGUAGAUAUCAUUUGGAACGCCAAAGGUGAAAACAGACAGCUGGGGAUGUGCUGACGCUGAGACACGAAAGCCAGGGGAGCGAACGGG